rnacentral:tRNA from 4 species
UCCGGCGAAGCUCAGAGGUCGAGCGAUCGGCUGUUAACCGAUGUGUCGUAGGUUCGAAUCCUACCGCCGGAGCCA